GCCACAUGUCACGAAAGAAGCAGCCAAAGCUGUUUUGGUAUCGUCGUCGUCGCCCUUCGGAGCCGUAACCCUAAUCACCCCAUCACCACCCGCCCCUCCCCCAAACCGAACCAUCGUCAUGGCCAGCGAGGAGUCGCCGUCGCCGACCUCAAGCGGCAAGCACUGCCGUUCGGCAGACGAUCAUGAGGCCGAGACAUCGUCGAAGCGACGGAAGCACCGUCACCGUCACCAUCACCGCCAUCACAGCAGACGCGGUCGCGAGAGUGAUGACGGGGCCGAGGAGGCCGCUCGGCUUGCGGAGCCGGAGACUGCUUCUUGUCCCGUUCCGAAGCCUGCUGAUGAGGAGCGAGAGGAGGGUGAGAUUCUCGAAGAUGACGAGGAGAUGGCCAACCUUGAUCAUACUAAAGUCGAUGGCUUCGUGACCGAUGGGGUUUCCGACUCUGGAUCGGGUGAAAUCAAGCCUGACGGCGUCGAUGUUUAUUCCAAUCUGAUUGUGCCUGGGGUGAAAGAUAGUUCUGGGAAAAAUGUUUUGGUGCUUAGUCAUAAGCAGAACACACUGAAAGAUGAAAAGAUGUUGGACCUUGCUUGGUCAUGUGAGAAUUCUAGUUUGAAUGAUACAGCUUGGAUGGAGGUAGAUACGUCAGAUGGAGAAAAUUGUGUCUGGAAGUCUGAGAGUAUAACAAAAUCAUUAGAACUAAAUGACAACAAGCAAAUGCAAACUGACAGAAAUGAUUCAGAAAGUCAAGUAAGAUCAAGAUCUCCGGUUUCUAAAGAAAGUUCUCAUGUAGCAAAGGACAGGAUGAGUUAUGACCAUGUGAAAAAAACUUCUGACAGUGACUCAGAGAAGGUUGACUCAAAGCAGUAUAUGGAGUCAAAGGAUGCAAACAGAAGAGCAACUGAUAGGAACAGGUCAGUGUCGCCCAAAAGUUCGCAAGAAAGGUACAGGAACACUAGAAGGUCUCCAGCGUCCAUCAGGUACCAUGAUGAAGACAAAUAUAGGGAUAAGUCCAGGCCUAUUGAUCAUAGAAAGAGGAUAUCAUAUGAAAAGGUCUCAGAGCAUUCAGACAUGGGUGAUGAUCAAGUUGGUUUGCAGGAAAGUAAGAGGGAUUAUUCCAAUAGGCAGCAUAAGUUGGACAGAUGUGCAGCUAGAAAUCGAGUAAGUGAUAUAGAGAUUCCUAACGAAAGAGAGAGUAGUGGCAAAAGAAGACAUGAUGACAGGCACAGAAGUCGGGAAAGGGAUAGGGAGAGGGAAAGAAGUAGUAGUAGUGUCAGAGAGACAGAUAAAACACAGUUGGAUAAAAGGUCUCACAGGGAAAAAGAGAGGAGUAGCAGUCAUAGCAGAUAUGACAGACAAGCAGACAAGCAUGAAAUUUGGGACAGAGAAAGUGGGAAAGAAAAAUACAGCUUCAGCACAAGAGACAGAGUAAGAGAUAAACCAAGGGAUUUGAAUAGGGAGAAAUAUGUAGAGAGGGAGAGGUUAAGGGAGAGUAAGCAUGAAAAAAAACGGGAUGAUAGUGAUAGAGAUAAGAAUAAGUCUAGGGACAGGGAAAUUAUUGCUCAUAAGGGUAAAGAACAUGGUGAUCAAAUGGAAACAGAUAGGAUUAGUAGCAGGUAUAGACAUAGGGAAUCUAGGCAUCCAAAGUACGAUGAAGUAGAGCAUCACAAGGAUAAAUCACGUUCGGAGGCUGGUUUCAAGAAAGACAAUUCUGACAAAGACACACAAAAGUCUAUUAGGGAGGAGGAGGAAGAGGAAGAUUACCAAGAUAAAAUUGAACAACAGCUUGCUAAGCAGGAUGAAGAUGAUGUUGACAUGAUUAAAAAUGAGAGCAGAAAAAGGAGGCAGGCUAUCUUGGAAAAAUAUCGACAGCGGCAGCUACGGCAAGUUGAAUCCUCAUCUGAUGGUAAUGUGAAUGAAUCUGAGAAAGCCACUUCGGAUAAGGAGAAUCUACAGGGAUUGCUUGCUAUGAGUGUUGAUAACAAAGUGAAUAAUGAAGAGCUUGAGAAUAGGGAUGACUCCAGAAAUGUAUUUGAUGUUGGUCCAUCGUUUUCUGUGGGAAAGUCACCUGUACAGAAUGGAGAUUUAGCUGAUAUGAAAAUGAACAAUGUUGGGGGACUUGGAGAGGGUACUCCAAAGAGUGAAAUAUCAGCCGAUAUGUUUACUGAUGACAUGUUUGGAGAAUCACCAGCUGGAGUUUGUGUGAAGGGAAAGUGUGAAGGACCACAGAUAGACAGAAGUUAUCUUCAUGACAACUGGGAUGAUGCAGAGGGUUAUUAUAGUUACAGGUUUGGGGAAGUACUCGAUGGUCGCUAUGAAGUUGUUGCAGCACAUGGAAAGGGCGUCUUCUCAACAGUUGUUCGUGCUAGGGAUCUCAAGGCUGGGAAAGGUGACCCUGAAGAAGUGGCUAUUAAAAUGAUUCGCAACAAUGAUACCAUGUACAAGGCAGGUCAGGAUGAACUUGUUAUAUUGAAGAAAUUGGUAGGCGCUGAUCCCGAGGACAAACGUCAUUGUGUUAGGUUUCUUUCAUCUUUCAAGUAUCGGAAUCAUCUUUGCUUAGUUUUUGAAUCUCUUCAUAUGAACCUUCGUGAGGUUCUAAAGAAAUUUGGUCGUAACAUUGGGCUAAAACUGACUGCUGUGAGGGCCUAUGCAAAGCAGCUUUUCAUUGCGCUGAAGCAUCUCAGAAAUUGUGGCGUUCUGCACUGUGACAUUAAACCGGAUAAUAUGCUGGUAAAUGAGGCCAAAAAUGUGCUCAAGCUUUGUGAUUUUGGCAAUGCUAUGUUCGCGGGUAAGAAUGAGAUUACACCCUACCUUGUUAGCCGCUUUUACCGUGCCCCUGAAAUAAUUCUUGGAUUGACAUAUGAUCAUCCAAUGGAUGUGUGGUCGGUUGGUUGCUGUCUAUAUGAACUGUACACAGGGAAAGUACUCUUUCCUGGUCCAUCAAACAAUGACAUGCUUCGACUACACAUGGAGUUAAAGGGUCCUUUCCCCAAAAAGAUGCUUCGGAAGGGUGCCUUCACAGAUCACCAUUUUGAUCAAGAUUUAAAUUUUCAUGCCACUGAGGAGGAUCCUGUUACAAAGAAGCCUGUUAAGAGACUGCUGAUAAAUAUUAAGCCAAAGGACAUCGGCGCUCUCAUGUCAGGCUUUUCUGAGGAGGAUCCCAAAAUGUUAUCAAAUUUUAAGGAUCUUCUAGAUCGAAUAUUUGUAUUGGAUCCAGAAAAGAGGAUGACAGUAUCUCAGGCAUUAAGUCAUCCAUUUAUCACGGGCAAGUGAAAUAAGAUGCUGAUUUUCCUGACUCUAGAAAUGUUGUUCAGCUAUGAGUCUACCAUGUGAUCUAUAUUGAUAUUUCCCAUCUAAUUCUUCGGCGUUUAUUCUGUCUUUUCACUGCUUGGUGGAGCUUGGUGGAUCGCGUUGAAGAGGAGUUGAAAGGAUCAUUUGUUUUAAAGCCUUUCUUCAUGGGAGUUCUUAACAUGGGAUGUGUUUCUGUUUCUUGGUUCUGCCAGGGCUAUGUGGCUAUCAACAGUGUUUUAGAUGCUAGAAGACAACCAAAAAAAGAUGGGAGAUUGCUGGAAGCAUUGCUUGUGCUGUUGAAAUCAAUGUACACUGGCCUACUAGUUGGCUUUGACAAAAGAUUGAAGGGAAUACGAAGAGAAGAAGAGGAAGAUGAGGUGGAGGAGGCAGAGGAGGUGGAGUGAGAGAAGUAGAGUGAAGUCCGACUGAGGUAGCAGCGAUGCAAUGGGAUGUGAACAGGCAGGGGCGGUGGAGCAGUGCGAAGCAGUAGUGAGAAGGAAGACGUGGAGAAGGGAGAGAAUGAGAGAUAGACAGGGUCUAGUUACAUGGGAGGGAAGAUUAAAGAAAAAGAAAAAGGAAUGACAACCAUAAAAAGAAUGAUAGGGGUACUAGGUGGUAUGCUAAUUACCCUGUACCCCCGGUUUUAACUAUUAAAACCUGGUGGCAAUCCUGGUUUGGUAGGGAUGUUAGACAAUUAUUCUUCCUCUGAACCAGAUUGGUGGAAAUGAUCCAAUUUGUAAUCCUUUUUCUGGUUGGAGAGGUAAAUAGUGACUGGUAUGAACUGGUCUAAUUGGUUUUGUUAUUCAUGACUGUGGAUAGGCUGUUCUUUGUCUGAAUUCACCAAAGCAAAACAUAAUUACGAGAGUUUGUCUGACCACUUCCAAUGAAAGUGUUGGCCACUGUUCAUGAAGUGCUUCUUUAUACUGUUUACUUCCAUGUAACAAACAAUUUAAAGUUAUCAAAUCAUUUGAAAUCAUUUGUUAGAUUUUGCUAUCGACUUUCAGUGAACCAAACUGGUUCAUGAUUAAGCCUUGUGCUUCUGUUUAUUUCUGAUGAACCAGACGCACUAUUGGAAAAGUCUUUGCUGGAUUGUAGACUUUUCUGUAUGCAUGUAUUGCCCAUAGAAGGGCAAGCCUUGGUGCCACGACAAGUUUGCUUGUUUGCAACUAGGGUGGCCAGAGUUCAAGUCACAGAAACAACCUUGCAAAGGUAAGACCGUGUACAUGGCAAUCUGAGAUCCCACACAAGUGAGAAUCUCUAUACAAUGGGGUCAUCCUUUGUUGUGUAUUGUUGCCACCAUUAAUCAUAUGCUAAAUAGGAGGCAAGGGAUGGACCCAUGAUUUGUGGACUUCUUCUAAUCUAGAGGAUUUGAUGAGUAUUAUUUUCAUAUUAAUACUCCUUAUGCGGCCAAGGCUACUGGCAAGUUGCCUUGAUCUGUUUAAUUUUUUAAAGAGUGCAAACAUUUGGAAUUAUUGAAGUUUAGGGUGUUGGUUUUCCACGAUUAGAACUUUAAAUGCCCAGCUACAAGCAACUACCAUACUGUAAUUACUUUUAGAUGCCUAUAAAGUGGGUGCUGACUUGCAGUUGUGACUACAACCUAUAGUCAAAUUGGAAAAUUACCUAUGAAUAAUGCCAAUGCAAGUGAUUUUUCAGACAAGUGUAGUAAAUUUCUUCCAUAGCGUGCAAAAAUUGCAUUUGCAAUUGCAAACCGGUUCGAGGCAAGCAAAUACACUUAUAUUCGCAAAUCAAUGCAUUCCUUUUCACAUGUAAUUGCAGAAGCAUAGGUGACCAAACAUUUCCUUAAUAUGAUUCCUGUUGUGCUAGUUGCAGUAUGCUAUUAUUGAAAUUUGAAAGGUUGUUCAGCUGUCAAGUUCAUGUCUUCUAAUAUUACACAGUUCAUCAUUAUAUUUUGGGGCUACUAAUUUGAAGUUUAUUAAGGGAGACAAUGAACCCUUCCUUGAGAAGGAAAAAGGAUUAUGUAAUUUUUCUCUUGUUUACUUGUUGAAAUUUAUUGGAAAGAUGGCUUCACUCUCUGGGCAAAUUCCGCAUAAGUGGGAGCCUUGCACUGGGAACUUUUUUAAGUUUCACUUUGUAGCCAAUUUAUUUAGAACACAAAUUAAGGGGAUGCAUGAAAAUAAGUUGCAUGGGAAUUAAUUCAACAAAUUACCUCAAUAGGACCAUAUUUGCCUCUAUGUUUCGUCAAUGUGAUUCCAAGAAGUAAACAAAGUAAAAGUGAACUAUGUUUACAAGGGUAACCUUGUUGACACCUAUGUGAGACAACCUGGUUUGCAAGAUUUUCUUGAUUUGAACUCAACAUAGUUUGUUUUAUUUGGGAACAUAUGUUUUGUUUCUUUAACAAGGACAUAUUGUUAGUGAAAGGUACUCUAGUUGGUUAUAACUGCAGACUUGCAGCUUUUUGAUUAUAUAUUUUGGCUAGUUUGGUUUUAUUUCAUUUGGCUAAAGUUGCAGUGGUGAUAUCGGAUUGUUGUUGUUUGUGAAUUACAAAGGGUGAGAAGCUUCAUUCUUUUUUCUUUGAUUUUUGAAUUACCAAGGAUGAGAAACUUAAGCAUCAUCAAUUUGUGGGGUCCAUUUGUUGUUGGAGGAUGAGCAGGUUGGUAAAUUUCUUUGGGAUUAUGAUUUUGUAAUUCAUUGCUAGUGCAAUCUUUCUUUCUCAAAAUUCAAGCAGCUUAAUCGUUUCUACCUUCAUCCAUCUUUUCCCUUUCUUUGUUUUCUUCCAUCAAUCCAUGUGCCGUGUUUUCUCCUCCAACAAUCAAUCCAAUGCUUACCUCUGUUCACAGCUGGAGUUGUAUUAGAUAGUGUCUUGAUUUAUUAUAUGGUAUCACUUGUAGGUAGGACCAGAACAAUUCAUGAAACAUUUAUUUUCAGGCAUUACAUUAUCAACUGAAUGCAAGAGAAGUUGAGUUUCUGUUGGUUGGUAUCUGCUUCUGGUGCAAUUUAUCAACUUAAUGCAUUUUUACCACAAAAACGGAAUCAACAUACAUGCUUUAAUUACCAUGGCAAAUUUUUUGUCAUCAUGCAGUGAAUAUUUUGAUGCACAGAGGAUAUGUAAAAUCAAACUUGCAUAUAUACGUCUGUCUAGAAUUAUUGAUGCUAUUUUUAGUUUGAUUGUAUCAAUCAGGUUCUUUUUAACUUCGGGUAUUUCUUUCAAAACCAUUGAGAUUCUCACCAUUUUGAUGUCAGUAAAAAAUCUACUAAGAUUGAAGCGUUCUCUUCAUGUACUGUGUGAAUGGUCAUCCUUAAGGAGCAUAUCCAAAUAUUUAUCAUCACAUGAGGUUUGAUAUUAUUUGUGAAGUUGGGAUAAUCGAGUUUAGACCAUCUUUGACUCAGGCCUGACUAUUUGAAAUAGUUCACCUUUCCCAGAGAGCUUUAUUGGCUAUUUGCUGACCUUUAGUGAGACAAAAUGUGUAAUUUUAUUAGAAGUGUGAAGGAACUUGGAAUUUUCAAGCAGUGGCAUUUGCAUCUGGAUGAUUAGUUCUAUAGUUUCUCUGCUACAGUUCUGCUUGAUCUUCACCAUCUUUUUUAGUAGUUGCAACUAGAUUAUAGAGAUAAUCUGGAAAGAUGGAAGGGGGUAGAGAUUGGAAGGAGGGCCAUAUUGUCUAGAUCAGAAACUUGGAGAUGAAAUGUUUGUACAUUCAAUCCUCUUUCCUUUGUGUCACAUAAACAUAACUAGGUGAACAGGAUAGAAAUUUCACUUGGUACUGGGACUUAAUUAUAUAUGCCUGGCAUGGGACUUGUCUGUAAACCAAACCUGGCAGUCCUGGUGUGGGCUCAGACUUGGGACUUAAGACCAAUUUGAACCUUAACUCAUAUGACAUGUAGUUUAUAUUGCUAUAGCCUUUUAUCCUUCAAGAAAAUUUUUGAAAUGAUUGAUUUUAUAUCUUUGUUGAUGGUUUUUGGAGUUGUGAUAUAGCUGACACUUUAUAUUUUUAUUUGUCUGUUGAUAUUUUUCUUUCUUUCUUGUUUUCUCAUAAAAUCUUUUUACUUAUUUUUCAUUCACGUUUAAGUAGGCCCCCGUAAAUUGUUACCUUUUGUUAUCAUUUCCUCCUACUAGCUGUUUUAGACAAUGCAUUCCCUUGUCUAGAGGUCUUCUGUGUUUUCUGGGGCUAGUAUGUUUUAGACAAAGCAUUCUAGCCCCCGUACAUGAGUCUGGCAUCUCAUUUACAGAAGACCUCUGGAAAAUUGUCCAGAGGUCUUCUGUGUCUAGUGGAAGUCAUUUUUGCUUGUCAAUUCUUGCUAGUUUAGAGAUGAAAAUAACUAAUUUUUAUUUUCGUUGUGACUAAUAUGGCAGUUUUACUUUACAGAGUUAGUGAAGUGGAAAAUUUUCAAAUUUAAUAUAAAAUAUGCCUCGUAACUUUACAGAGUUAGUUUUCUUUAAAUAAAGGACCUUUUAUUUUGUGUUUUUCUAGGAAGUUGUAUUGUUAGAUAAUUUAGCUGCCGUGGUUUUCAUUGUUAGAUAACUAUCACGGUCGUAACAGAACUGAAUUGCCAAGUAUUUCGUAAAUUGGAAAAAUAAUAGUAUGCUUGAUGUCUGUCGAGGAACUGGGAAGACUUGGGGUAUUGUGGUAGCUCCAAGAAUUUUGCAUUUGCUAACAAUACUUUUGUCCUGUCAAGUUAUUCGGUUUAACUGCACCAUACCAAGAUACUCAGAUUGCCAUCUCUUUUGCUUGUGUAUUCGCCGUGUUGCUGUUGCGAGUAAAGGUAUGUUUGCCAAUGCCAAUGUGCCCAUUUUGUUCUCGGUGACGUAGCAUCUUGUAUUUUCAAUGGUUUCUUUAUUUUUGGUGCCUAAAGGCGCAUUGCUUUUUUUCAGAAUUAAGAGAAUACUGUGUAAAUACUCAUUCAACCACGGCAUUUCUUUCAUGAGACUUAUUUAUCUA